rnacentral:rRNA from 1 species
CAGGGAUUGCCUCAGUAACGGCGAGUGAAGCGGCACCAGCUCAGAUUUGAAAUCUGGUCCCACCUGUGGGGCCCGAGUUGUAGUCUGGAGAGGAUGCUUUGGGGGACAGCUGGGUCCAAGUUCCUUGGAAUAGGGCGUCAGAGAGGGUGAGAGUCCCGUCUGUGGCCUGGGCCUGUCCUUUGUGUGAAGCUCCCUCGACGAGUCGAGUUGUUUGGGAAUGCAGCUCAAACCGGGUGGUAAAUCUCAUCUAAAGCUAAAUACUCGCCAGAGACCGAUAGCGCACAAGUAGAGUGAUCGAAAGAUGAAAAGCACUUUGAAAAGAGAGUUCAACAGCACGUGAAAUUGUUGAAAGGGAAGCGCUCGCAAUCAGACUUGCCCGCGGUCCUUCAGUCGAUGGGUGACCACCGACGCAAUGGACCUCGGGCAGGCCAGCAUCGGCCCAGGUGGCGGGAGAAGAACCCUGGGAAUGUGGCUCCCUACUGGGUGCGUUAUAGCCUGGGGUGCGAUGCCGCCGCCUGAGCCGAGGCCCGCGCUACGGCAAGGAUGCUGGCGUAAUGGUUGCCAGCGACCCGUCUUGAAACACGGACCAAGGAGUCUAACAUCCACGCGAGUGUUUGGGUGUCAAACCCCCGGCGCGCAAUGAAAGUGAAUGGAGGUGGAAAUCCGUAGGGAUGCACCAUCGACCGAUCCUGAAGUCUACGGAUGGAUUUGAGUACGAGCGUGGCUGUUGGGACCCGAAAGAUGGUGAACUAUGCCUGAAUAGGGUGAAGCCAGAGGAAACUCUGGUGGAGGCUCGCAGCGGUUCUGACGUGCAAAUCGAUCGUCAAAUUUGGGUAUAGGGGCGAAAGACUAAUCGAACCAUCUAGUAGCUGGGUUCCUGCCGAAGUUUCCCUCAGGAUAGCAGUAACGCGUGGCAGUUUUAUGAGGUAAAGCGAAUGAUUAGAGGCCUUGGGGUUGAAACAACCUUAACCUAUUCUCAAACUUUGAAUAUGUAAGAAGUCCUUGUUGCUUGGUUGAACGUGGACAUUCGAAUGUACCGUUACUAGUGGGCCAUUUUUGGUAAGCAGAACUGGCGAUGCGGGAUGAACCGAACGCGGGGUUAAGGUGCCGGAAUGCACGCUCAUCAGACACCACAAAAGGUGUUGGUUCAUCUAGACAGCAGGACGGUGGCCAUGGAAGUCGGAACCCGCUAAGGAGUGUGUAACAACUCACCUGCCGAAUGAACUAGCCCUGAAAAUGGAUGGCGCUCAAGCGUGCUACCCAUACCCCGCCGCCAGGGUAGGAACGAUGCCCUGGCGAGUAGGCAGGCGUGGGGGUCCGUGACGAAGCCUCGGAGCGAUC